ACCUUUCCGUGAAGAGGCGGAAUAACACAAUAAGACGAGAAGACCCUAUGGAGCUUAAAUUAAUAUUCCAACUUAAACAACUUCAAAUCUAAUCGAUGUAAAAUCUGCAACCACUGGAAUAAACAUUUUGGUUGGGGUGACCUCGGAGCAUAAAAAAACCUCCGAAGGACUAACAUUAAGACCAACUAGUCCAAAUUAUAAAUGUCCAAAUAUUGACCCAGAAAUAAUUCUGAUCAAUGAACCAAGUUACCCUAGGGAUAACAGCGCAAUCUUGUUAAAGAGUUCAUAUCGACAAUAAGGUUUACGACCUCGAUGUUGGAUCAGGACAUCCCAAUGGUGCAGCAGCUAUUAAAGGUUCGUUUGUUCAACGAUUAAAGUCCUACGUGAUCUGAGUUCAGACCGGAGCAAUCCAGGUCGGUUUCUAUCUAUUUACCUAUUUCUCCUAGUACGAAAGGACCAGAGAAAUGAGGCCAACUUUACAAAAGCGCCUUAAUACUUAAUAAAUGAUAUUAUAUCAACUUACAAAGUAACUUAACUCACUCAAUUACAUCCCGACAUUAGGGAUUGUUAAGAUGGCAGAGCCAG
rnacentral:ncRNA from 1 species